AGCAGCAGCCGCGGGAAUACGAAGGGGGCUAGCGUUGUUCGGAAUUACUGGGCGUAUAGCGCACGUAGGCGGAUAUUUAAGCCAGGGGUGAAAUCCCAGAGCUCAACUCUGGAACUGCCUUUGAUACUGGGUAUCUUGAGUAUGGAAGAGGUGAGUGGAAUUCCGAGUGUAGAGGUGAAAUUCGUAGAUAUUCGGAGGAACACCAGUGGCGAAGGCGGCUCACUGGUCCAUUACUGACGCUGAGGUGCGAAAGCGUGGGGAGCAAACAGGAUUAGAUACCCCCGUAGUCCCUGUCUCUUAUAC
rnacentral:rRNA from 1 species